rnacentral:misc_RNA from 1 species
CUGACUAAUCCCAUGCCUGUACAACCCACACUACUGCUAUGCUAAAGACCUUGUAUUGCGCUCUAACACACCCUACCAAAAAAAAAACGGCCUAUCUCAUACAUAACAGUACAGCUGCAGUGGAACACUGCGUUUCAAACUAAACUGGUUAUCCAGCUUGACAUCAAAUCUGGAAUAAUGUCUUUCAGCAACCAUGCCGGUGGUUGUAGCGACUCUUUGCCACUGGUUCUGUAUAUCCACGUAAGUACGACUUCUGCCCAGCAGGACACUCGACAGAAGGUGUACGAAAACACAUCGGCGGCUGAUGACUUCCCACAGUUCGAGCUACGCACAGAGACCGUGGCUGGUAGUGCAGUCUUUGAUCAAAUGAUGGCCCUCUUCUGGACCCGAAUCACAGCAGAGGACUUCCGGAGACUGCAGAUGAUCAUCAUCAAUGGAUACGGCCAGGCCAACACAGGAUGCCUUGGAGAUAUGGAGUUUACUGGAGCCUAUCUCAAACUAAUUCUACUGUCACUUGUACACAGGUUCUCCCCAGAAACCAUCAACAACAACCACAAGGGUCAUGGGAUUGUCGUGGUCUGUGCACAGUGCUACAGUCAUACAUUCGUUCAGCAUGCUAAGUGUGUUCCUGCUACCGAUCCUGUUUUUCACUUCGUACCCCUGACAACCGCUUACCAACCGUACUUGGUCAACCCCGAGCUGCCCGAGAAAAUGCCCUUUGUCAAGUGGGACAUUCGAAGCUUCUUGAAGAGCCUGUUGCUGUCACCAAGACGGAGCAUAAGCAGUGAAGAUUACGUACUGGGUCCUUCCCCCACGUCCCCUCGUACCAAUACUCCUAGGUCGGCUAGCCGGACUGGUAGUGACAUCACACAGUCGCCUACAUCCAGCCCUUGGAACCGGUAGAAAGUAGUAACCUUGUUUCAUUGCCCAAUCUGAAUGGUGACUAACAUAAGAAUAUAUAUGUGGGCCGAACAUGUAAUGUGUUAACCCUAAAAGGGCCGGGGGCGGAAUCCGCCUUCCGCAUCUUUUGGUACC